GAUGAACGCUGGCGGCGUGCCUAACACAUGCAAGUCGAACGGAGAUUACGGACGGAAGUUUUCGGAUGGAAGCCUGUAAUUCUUAGUGGCGGACGGGUGAGUAACGCGUGGGCAACCUGCCCUAUACAGGGGGAUAGCAGCUGGAAACGGCUGGUAAGACCGCAUAAGUCGGUUAAAUCGCAUGAUUUGAUCGGGAAAUGAGCAAUCAGGUAUAGGAUGGGCCCGCGUCCGAUUAGCCAGUUGGCAGGGUAAAAGCCUACCAAAGCGACGAUCGGUAGCCGGACUGAGAGGUCGGACGGCCACAUUGGGACUGAGACACGGCCCAAACUCCUACGGGAGGCAGCAGUGGGGGAUAUUGCACAAUGGAGGAAACUCUGAUGCAGCGACGCCGCGUGAGUGAAGAAGUAUUGCGGUAUGUAAAGCUCUAUCAGCAGGGAAGAUGAUGACGGUACCUGACUAAGAAGCCCCGGCUAACUACGUG
rnacentral:rRNA from 1 species